rnacentral:rRNA from 1 species
GAUGAACGCUGGCGGCGUGCUUAACACAUGCAAGUCGAACGGUGAACACAGAGCUUGCUCUGUGGGAUCAGUGGCGAACGGGUGAGUAACACGUGAGCAACCUGCCCCUGACUCUGGGAUAAGCGCUGGAAACGGCGUCUAAUACUGGAUAUGUGACGUGACCGCAUGGUCUGCGUUUGGAAAGAUUUUUCGGUUGGGGAUGGGCUCGCGGCCUAUCAGCUUGUUGGUGAGGUAAUGGCUCACCAAGGCGUCGACGGGUAGCCGGCCUGAGAGGGUGACCGGCCACACUGGGAUUGAGACACGGCCCAGACUCCUACGGGAGGCAGCAGUGGGGAAUAUUGCACAAUGGGCGAAAGCCUGAUGCAGCAACGCCGCGUGAGGGAUGACGGCCUUCGGGUUGUAAACCUUUUUUAGCAGGGAAGAAGCGAAAGUGACGGUACCUGCAGAAAAAGCGCCGGCUAACUACGUG